rnacentral:rRNA from 1 species
CCUACGGGCGGCAGCAGUGAGGAAUCUUGGUCAAUGGACGAGAGUCUGAACCAGCCAAGUAGCGUGAAGGAUGACUGCCCUAUGGGUUGUAAACUUCUUUUAUAUGGGAAUAAAAUGUUCCACGUGUGGGAUUUUGUAUGUACCAUAUGAAUAAGGAUCGGCUAAAUCCGUGCCAGCAGCCGCGGUAAUACGGAGGAUCCGAGCGUUAUCCGGAUUUAUUGGGUUUAAAGGGAGCGUAGGUGGAUUGUUAAGUCAGUUGUGAAAGUUUGCGGCUCAACCGUAAAAUUGCAGUUGAAACUGGCAGUCUUGAGUACAGUAGAGGUGAGCGGAAUUCGUGGUGUAGCGGUGAAAUGCUUAGAUAUCACGAAGAACUCCGAUUGCGAAGGCAGUUCACUGGACUGCAACUGACACUGAGGCUCGAAAGUGUGGGUAUCAAACAGGAUUAGAUACCCGAGUAGUC